AUGAGGGUUGAAGAUGAAGAUGAGAAUUCAUCCCAAAAAUCUCGGAGAGAUUCCAAGUGGAAAUUUUGUUACAAAUUGGAGCUUCUCAUCCCUUGGAUCGAAAGUUGGUUACUGAAAUGGAGGGCUGAGAUUGAAUCACGAUUGAGAGGUUUUCGGAAAGAUUAUAACAUUUUGAAACAGGGCAGGGCUGAUUAUUUUACGUCGAAGAUGGUUUAA
rnacentral:lncRNA from 1 species